rnacentral:lncRNA from 1 species
GGGAAGUAAUUAUCAGAGAAAAUAAUCUCAGAUUCGUCGAACUCUUCCGACAUAAUUUUUCAAGAAACUCAGUUGUGUUCAAUUUUAAAAAAAUGGGUUUUAGAAAUAAAGAAAAGUAAUUUAAGGGUUUAAGAAUGUUACAAACAAAAAAAUUUAAGGGUUUAAGAAGAAUUAAGAGAGUUAAUAGAAGAAUAAUAGGAAGAAGAGAGAACAGUACGAAGAAGAAGAAGAAGAAGAGAGGAGAGGGGUUUAUAUAAGAGAAGACAAGGAAACGUAGAGACUACUCUAACCUUGUGGUGAUAUGAUGAUGUCAUCAUAAUGGCGUUGAGUGCGGACCCCGCUUUGCUCUUUCCUAUAUAUAUUUUGUAUGUAUACGUUAGAUUCGUAUUCAUUAAUUACUUUUUUAUUUUCCUUUUUUUUUUU